AUUUAUAUGUCAUUCUGCUGGACAUAACACUAGAUCAUCAUUCAGCUAAUUCUGUUAAUAACUUGUUAUGCUUUAUGCAAUUUAACGGAAACAGCAACAAGUUAUGUCAAGUAAAAUGCAAUGAAGCCUUAAAAUCUCUUUUUGUAUACAAUUAAAUUGUCUCUACUGUUAUGUCCAGCAGAAUGAGAUAUAAAUGAGCCUCUACUGUUAUGUCCAGCAGAAUGACAUAUAAAU
rnacentral:misc_RNA from 1 species